AAUAUAGCUAGAGGACCAUUCAGAACAGAGUCAUUGGACGGGGGCUAAUCUGAGGUUAUCCGUUUCGUUUUUCGUUUUGGCAACAAAAGAAGCAAACGUGUCUAGUUACUUUGGUAUUGUUUUUCGUUUUCUCUUUUAAGAAAAACGGAAACGCGUUUCGAACUAGUGUUCACAAGAAUAACGUUUCCAAGGGUUUUGAAACCGCUUUGCACACCGUUCUCUCUCUUCUUCCCACCAAGAUCCUGACUCCAGCAAGUUAUGGUACGACAAAAAUAAUUUAAUUCAUUUUUUUUUCACUUUAAUGGCUUAUCAGUUUUAUCGAUGACUUUUUAAAAAAAAAAUUAAGACAUUCUCUGUUCCAAGUGAAGAAUGCUAGAGUCAAUGAUCUGAGCACUCAAAGAAAAAUUCGAUAAGGAAUUUCAAGAAUUUGACUCAAGAAACUGUGAUUGGUUAUGAUUCUACAACAGGGAAAGUUGAAGCAGCUGAUGAACACUGGAGGGUGUUGUCCAAGGUGCAUAGAAUGGCAAAAAGAUUCAAGAGGAAGGGUUGCAAAGAAUACCUGGACUUGUGUUUGUCUUUGAUGACGCAACUACUCCCGGUGCGCAUGCACAUUCAUCUCCCGAAUCGCCAUCAUCAGGGAAAGAGUGAUAAUCGUCUCAGAGAAUGUGUCUGAGUCUGAACCUAGUGAAUCUUCCAAGUCUGGCCACAAGAAAAGGGCUAGAAGGACCUGUAGCAGUAUUUUAGAGAAAGCUUUGGUAACUAUGGGGGAGCAAUCAAAGAGAAACAAUGAUUUGCUUGGACACAGGUUAGCAACAUCAUCAUCCACAAGGGUUAGUGGAGUUGGGGCAAAUUCACUUACUAAUAGUGAAGUUAAUGCCAUGAAAGAGUGUUUAAAGGCUUUGAAUGCUUUGGGAAUUACUGGUGCCCCAUAUGGGAAGGCUGUGAAGGCCCUUCAUGACUCCACCUUGUAUAGAGAGAUUUUCCUGGACAUGCCCGAUGAGAGGAAGAAGGAUUGGAUAUCGACUCUUUAACGAAGUUUUGUGCUAAUUUCUAAGUAUCGUUUAGUUUUCUUGAAGACUUUUUUUCUUUUUCUUGAAGAAAAACAAGGAUGAUUAUUUUCGGUUUAAUUUGGUUUUUAUAAAAAAAUAAUAACCAAACUGAAAAAAAUGGAAUGGACGAUUUUUUUUCUCUAAUUUGUAAUCAUUUGUUCGUUGGACCAAUAUGAAGAUUGCUGUAAUUAUAGAGAUCGUGCGCCCAUCUUUAGCUUCAUGCAAA